rnacentral:lncRNA from 1 species
AUUUAGCGCGUCAUACACUGUCUUGCUCUCUAACAUUUAAUUUAGUGUCCCUUGGACUCGGUUUCUUCGUCUCUAAGUGCAGUGGAGGCAGAAAGGGAGAACUUCAGAGGCCACUCAGCACCAGCACUCCCUCAGGGCCUGGAGUAAUGAAAGCCAGCACCGUGGGCCAGGCGCCUUGCUGAGUACUUCCUAUGCAUUGUUCACUGGGUUACUUCAACAAUCCCACAAGGAGGAAGUGGUCACACGCCUCUUGCCGUCCCCCCAUUUUAUAGAUGAAGCUCAGAGAGGUUUAGAAACUUGUCCAAAGUCGUCAUGUUACAGAUGAGGAUCUGAGGAACAGAGAGCCCUGUGUUUGCCCAGAGUGCCACCCCCAAGUGCUGCCAGCAAGUGUCAUGUGAGCCCCGGAAUCUGCAUCCCACUGUUUUAUUUUGUCAAUCCUUACAACAGCCAGAUGGAUUCCGUAUUAUGGUGCCCAUUUACAGAGGGGAAAGCUGAUGAGGCUCAGAGAGGUUAAGUAACUUGGCUACUAUCUCACAGUGAGGAAGUGGCAGAGUCCAGGCUGGGAACCAGGGUCAUCCAAAGCCUGUGGUCUAAACACUUAACAACACUGCCUCCCUCCACCAAGCCUGGGGCUCAGGACCAUUAACAGGGACUGAGCCUCCUCUGUCAGGGUGUGGAAUCAGAAUAUAACAACAGCCUCCGGGAGAGGCCCCCAGGGAUCUGCAUUCAGAUGCUGCCCUGAGAGCAGGAGGUCUGAGCAGGGAAGGGAGGGGGGAGCCUGGAACCCAAACAGCAAAGGAGCCCCGGGCCUGGGUGGGCUCCCUGCAGGGGCCUGGGUGACGCGGGCAGCACUGCCAGAGAGAGGCAGCAUCACUUUGUGACUGUGGCCAACACUGUCCACUGGCUGGAGGCUGGUCAGGCACAGCCAGGGUGGCUGGCAGCCGCCUCGGCUCCCAAAAUUCACUAUCGGUCCUAGAUCCUGCGGAAGUUUAUGGUCCAGCAUAAUUCUUCUAAUUGCCAUCGUCAUGGCUAAUAACAUUAUGUGACAGCCAUAAACUCAGAGAGUUGAAGUGGGCCCCGGAGGACAGAACAACUGAAGAUGGUUUGGAUGGGAUUCAGAGGGAGGCAGGAGGGCUCAGGUUGGGGACCAUGGCUGUGCCUUCUGGGGAUGGGUGUCUUUUCACAGAUUCAUUGGAAGCUGCACUCACAGAAGAUCAGGAUGGGCGCAGGGGACGCUGGGUCAUGAGCCGUUCAUCGAUAGAGAUUAUCAGCGCAGAGCUUGAGAUAAUUGUCAGUUGUAAGGUAAGGCUUACAGAAGAAUGGGACACUCCUGGACCCUUAGAACGUCAACAUCACAGGACCCUCAGGGGUGGGCGUGGUAGACACACAGCUGGGUGACCCAACCCAGGCUCCAGAGCCGGCCCAGGCAGGGAGCUUCCAAAUGAUUCUAAUGGAGACCAUCUCAGGCCGACAUCUGAGGACUCUCCCCCGUGGGACCGGGCUGCGUCACUCUCUCCUUCGACCCCAGCCCCUCCAGGACAGGGGUCUCUGCCCAGAAUGGGAGUCAGGGCUUUUAUUGCUUUGGCUCCACUGGGGGCAGGGAGCUGCUCCUCACCCCUCCCUAACGCAGCUCCACUUUCCCGUCCUCACUCUUGCCCCUGCCCGCCAGGCCCCCCGGCCUCUCCUCUCUCACACUGGCUUGUCGCGGGUCCUCCAAGCACAGAGCCCCUCCUGCCUCCAGGCCCUCACGUGUGCUGUUCCCUCUGCCCCGACGGGAUGCCCCUCUUUCUCAUCCCCCCGCGUCCCCAUCUCAUCGUUCAGAUCUCCAUUCUGCUCCCACCUCCACACAAGCCACCUGCGACCCGGCCCGGUCAGGUCCCUGCCCCGUGUUCACAGCCCUGAACCUUUGCUUCAGGGUCACAGUCCCCUUUGCAGUUUGGCGUGAUUGUGGGAUCAUUUGGUAACGGGUCCCGCACUGCGAGCCUGCUGGCCCGGGAGCCCACACAGCCCGGCGCGGAGCACCCAGCCCUGCGGUGGGUCAGAGGACGGCGGCUGGAACCUGACGUCCUGGAGCCCCGUCCGCCUUCACUGACCCGGGGUCGCCUCCCUGAGCCUCGGUGUCCUCAGCUGGAAAUGGGACCCUGGACUCGCGAAAGCGAACCUUGUGUCAUUGCAUCUGAACCCCGAGCUCCGUGGGGGCCGCAGCCCCCGGGGGACGGGGAUUAAAGGAUCACUUCGAAUGACUUUGGCCAUCAGAGUAAGAGAUUCGUCUCCCCAGAACGCUUUCCUUUGACAGUUGGCUUCAGGGAUUUGACAGAAUUCAUUUCUCCAGCAAAUAAGAUCAAGGUAUUAAACAAGACUCAUUCUAUGUGAGGACUCUCUUAACCGCUUGACAUAAUUGUGGGUUAUCCAGGGAGGGUUUGUGGCAAAACCGGUGAGUCUUUUUUGUUGUUGUUCUCAUUCCCUUUGAAGCCUCACGUUUCUGGCACCUGGCAGAGGUCCUGUGAGGGAGGAGUCACCAGACGUGGUGGGCGAAGUGGGGGAGCCCAGGGCCCAGGGGCGCACAGCCCUCAUCCUCCUGCUCCCCUCGGAGCCGGGGCACCCGGAGGGUGCAGAGGAGAGACCUCUGUCCUGCUUGGAAGGUAUCUUCAGAGAGGCCAGCAGAGAGGACAAACUUGAGAGCCAGCAUUAGUCAAUUCCCUGCUUCCUCAUCCCUAAAAACACCUGACUCAAUGACGGUUACCUCCAGGGGCAGUGGCAGCUUCAUAAGCCACAGAUGUGAGCCCAGGGGCAAAGCCUGGCACACAGUAGGACCUCAAGUCAUUUCUUCCCCACCUCACCCACCCCGCAGGCCGCCAGAGAGGGUUUGGGGCCCACUCCUGAUCCACGGUUUACAGAAAUGCCUCUAGAAUAUUCCCCAGCGUCAGCUUCCCUCCCCGACCCUAGACAGUGUCGCUUGUCCGUGUCUUCAGAAAUGACAAGAAUGACGCACAGUGGCUCCAUCUCUGAACACAGCAUGCCUGCAAAUGUCAGACUCCCCACUGAGGGCCUGCAUGUGCACUCAUGUGAGUGGCCAUGUGUGCACACAUGUGAGGGCCCCAUCGGAAAGGACCGUGUACCUCACAUUCUUCAAGGCCUCGAAUGUGACCCUCUGACGCUGUCUCUAACACAGCCACAGGGGCACGGGGCCAGGACAGGUGGAAAGACGAGGGCCCUCCACGAACAGCCUCCAGCGUGUGUCCUGGCUUCCGUUGUCUCUGCCUCACAAGCAGAAGGAAGUUCUCUGGGAGGCUCACAGCAGGGAAGGCCCUGGGCUGCCCUGGGCUCCGAGAGGCUGGCGCUGGGUGGACACGGACGCAGGUGAUGGCACAUCACACCGCAGGUGAGCCCCUGCCCACAGCUGUGGGGCCCUUAUGAGUGUGCCAGUGGACACACAUGUGUGAG